CCGUAACCCAUGCAAUGUGCCUCUACCUUUGAGUGAAUAUUUGAUUGAAAUUCAGAUAAAUACAAUGAAUAGUGCCAUCAUUGAUCAGCUGAGGACCCUUCUGAUGUCUUUCAAUUCACCGUACACAAUCAGUGACAGCACUAACAUUACAGAAAUCAACAUAACUACUGUGUGUUCUUUGAAUGAAACGGAAUAUCAGUGUAAAUGUGAGGGUCAGUUUGUUUGGCCAAAUGACACGUGUCAUUCAUACGAGACCUGUGAUGGCAUAAUUGAUGGUGCAUGUACAUGUAUUAAUGCCC